UUGCAGUUACAAUAUACAUCGAAAUCCCCUCUGCAUCUACAUAACUCCCACACAGAGAAAACCCCAAACGAAACAACGAUACAGACCAAUCUUCCACAGAGAUCUCCAUGGGACACGGUGAAAAAGGUCGCCAUAGCAAAAAGCACAAAUCUUCUUCCAAGGAGGAUCAUAGGUCCACAGUUGUAGAAGACGAUGAGUCCUAUUAUGUUGAGGAUUUAGAUGAUGAAAGAGAGGGGGCUUUAUCUUGGUGAGUAUAUUUUUAUUUUAUUUGAGAUAAUAUAGAAGUAUAUAUAUCAUAUCAAAUUUAGAAAAAAAAAAUAUGCAAUUGAAUAAAUAUUUUUAUUAGUAGUGUUCCUUAAUUUAAUUUUUAU